UACGUAGGGUGCAAGCGUUGUCCGGAAUUAUUGGGCGUAAAGAGCUCGUAGGCGGUUCGUCGCGUCGGCUGUGAAAACCCGGAGCUCAACUCCGGGCCUGCAGUCGAUACGGGCGGUCUGGAGUUCGGCAGGGGAGACUGGAAUUCCUGGUGUAGCGGUGAAAUGCGCAGAUAUCAGGAGGAACACCGGUGGCGAAGGCGGGUCUCUGGGCCGAUACUGACGCUGAGGAGCGAAAGCGUGGGGAGCGAACAGG
rnacentral:rRNA from 1 species